rnacentral:lncRNA from 1 species
ACCGCCCCAGCCCCGGGCGGCCCUGGGCCUGCUGCGGGCGCGGCGCUGCCCGACCAGAGCUUCCUGUGGAACGUCUUCCAGAGGGUCGAUAAAGACAGGAGUGGAGUGAUAUCAGACACCGAGCUUCAGCAAGCUCUCUCCAACGGCACGUGGACUCCCUUUAAUCCAGUGACUGUCAGGUCGAUCAUAUACUACACUGAAGGCUGGUUACGCUCUUAUGUGCAAUAGAACCUCAAACACAUCGUAACACACCUUUGGAGAAUCCUUACAAGAACACCAAGUUAACAGUUAUCUCUGACCACACUACCUCAGCAAAAAACCAGGAAGAAAAAAUAUUCUUCAACCCUUUUCAGGGACAGAAAGCAUCAUUUCAAAAGUCCAAGAAGGGAAGGUCCUGAGGCACGUGAAUGGCCAGGAUCAGAUUGUGCCCGGCCUGUACGCCUGUGGGGAGGCCGCCUGUGCCUCGGUACAUGGUGCCAAUCGGCUCGGGGCAAACUCGCUCUUGGACUUGGUUGUCUUUGGUCAGGCAUGUGCCCUGAGCAUCGAAGAGUCAUGCAGGCCUGGAGAUAAAGUCCCUCCAAUUAAACCAAACGCUGGGGAAGAAUCUGUCAUGAAUCUUGACAAAUUGAGAUUUGCUGAUGGAAGCAUAAGAACAUGAGAACUGCGACUCAGCAUGCAGAAGUGCCGCUGGGUUAGGGUCUCCACAACCGAGCUGGUCUCAGCAAGUGGCGCCCACACAUGGGGGCUCGAAUCCAGGUCGAAGGGUCACCGGAGCGACAGAAAACUUGGAACUAAGCUGGAGGACACCGAGUACUCUUAUGCAGUCCCC